UUUAAACAGCAAUGUUUAGGCUAAAGAUAAUAAAAGAGAGGAGGUUUAAAUUGAGGAAAGAAAAUUUAGGUUCAGAGUAAAUAAUUUAUUAAAUACAACUCCUUAUUAUGGGUGUAUUUUAGUUAUGGGUGUGUGUAUGUAAUUAGUUCUCAUCAUCAUCUACUCUUAAAACCAGACUUGUCACUUUUACCCUCCACUCCUGUCAGCCACUAGAUCACACUGAUGUUAACUGGCUUAUGCCCAUCUCUUCAUUUUAGUUCCCAAUGUUACCUCCUGGGCUGAAUUCCCAUCUUGUUAAAUCUAGAUUCAUGUAAUAUCCUCCUAGACAGUCUCUUAAUCUUUUAAUACCUUACUUAUUCUAUUCAAUCCUGUGUUCUGCCAACCAAUUACUAUUCCUUGAAAACUACUUUGUUUAAUCUCUCUGAUUUCCAACUGCCUACACAGUAAGAUUCUAAUUCUUUGGCUUAGCUUUCAAGACUCUAUUCAAUCCAACUUUAAUCUACCUUUUUUGUUCCAUUCCUCUCCCCUCCCCAUCCACUCUAGUUAGAGGGAAGUUGCCUAGCAUGGGGAUAAGGAUGCAGACUCCAGAGCAGGCUGCCUGCAUGAACUCCAGGUCCCCACCAGCCAGUUUUAAACUAAAAGUUCAGAUAUUCUGAACUGUGGAACGAACAUCACAUGGACCUGCUGAGGUGGAAAUGUGGACUUUAGGAGGUGAGACCUACAUCACUCAUAGGUAAGUGUCCUUCCUAAAUCUACAGAGUGGACAACAAACCUAAUUCACUUGUUUAAAAUAAUCAUUGGGAAGGAAAUUGCAAAUGCUCUGACUCUGGAGAGAUAGAGGAUGACUGGCAGGCAAAGGAGAAAUCUCAGGCUUCAGUAAUGAGACUUUUUCAUGAGUCCCUUAGUCAAACUCAUGAGACCUGGAGAGUCUAUGGGGAAGGGGUACACGCAUAGAAAAAGCCAGAGACGAUGAGGCUGGGAAAAUAAGCUUCUCUUACCAUUGUUCUCUAUUCUCCCUACUUCCACACUCUUCCAGUGGGACAAAGUGCCCCACAUUAUAAAUCACUGUGUCCCAAGGAGUCUGGAGUUUAGGUGCCUGAACAUGGCAGAGGGCCUUUCUAGACUGGUUUGACCUUUCUCUCAUCCCCAGCAAAGUUCUGAAUGUGGGUUCUGACUCUGAGCUGAAGGCAUGCUUCAUGAAGAUUCCUGUUGCCCUUUCACUGCACAGUUGGGCUUAGAGGCAAACUUGGAUGAUAAAAAUAUAGUUACCAUGCUAUCCCUUAUAAAGAUUUGGGAGAAAG